GUUUACAGCAGCCGCGGUAACACAUGCAAGUCGAGCGGUAGAGAGAAGCUUGCUUCUCUUGAGAGCGGCGGACGGGUGAGUAAUGCCUAGGAAUCUGCCUGGUAGUGGGGGAUAACGUUCGGAAACGGACGCUAAUACCGCAUACGUCCUACGGGAGAAAGCAGGGGACCUUCGGGCCUUGCGCUAUCAGAUGAGCCUAGGUCGGAUUAGCUAGUUGGUGGGGUAAUGGCUCACCAAGGCGACGAUCCGUAACUGGUCUGAGAGGAUGAUCAGUCACACUGGAACUGAGACACGGUCCAGACUCCUACGGGAGGCAGCAGUGGGGAAUAUUGGACAAUGGGCGAAAGCCUGAUCCAGCCAUGCCGCGUGUGUGAAGAAGGUCUUCGGAUUGUAAAGCACUUUAAGUUGGGAGGAAGGGCAGUAGAUUAAUACUCUGCAAUUUUGACGUUACCGACAGAAUAAGCACCGGCUAACUCUGUGCCAGCAGCCGCGGUAACAC
rnacentral:rRNA from 1 species